rnacentral:rRNA from 1 species
CGGAGGAUCCGAGCGUUAUCCGGAUUUAUUGGGUUUAAAGGGUGCGCAGGCGGGAGAUUAAGUCGGCGGUGAAAUUUUGCAGCUCAACUGUAAAAGUGCCUUCGAAACUGGUUUCCUUGAGUAUAGAUGAAGUAGGCGGAAUUUGUGGUGUAGCGGUGAAAUGCAUAGAUAUCACGAGGAACUCCGAUUGCGCAGGCAGCUUACUAAACUACUACUGACGCUCAGGCACGAAGGCGUGGGGAUCAAACAGGAUUAGAUACCCUGGUA